GGCUCACGUUGAACGCUAGCUACAGGCUUAACACAUGCAAGUCGAGGGGCAGCAUGGUCUUAGCUUGCUAAGGCCGAUGGCGACCGGCGCACGGGUGAGUAACACGUAUCCAACCUGCCGUCUACUCUUGGACAGCCUUCUGAAAGGAAGAUUAAUACAAGAUGGCAUCAUGAGUCCGCAUGUUCACAUGAUUAAAGGUAUUCCGGUAGACGAUGGGGAUGCGUUCCAUUAGAUAGUAGGCGGGGUAACGGCCCACCUAGUCUUCGAUGGAUAGGGGUUCUGAGAGGAAGGUCCCUCACAUUGGAACUGAGACACGGUCCAAACUCCUACGGGAGGCAGCAGUGAGGAAUAUUGGUCAAUGGGCGAGAGCCUGAACCAGCCAAGUAGCGUGAAGGAUGACUGCCCUAUGGGUUGUAAACUUCUUUUAUAAAGGAAUAAAGUCGGGUAUGGAUACCCGUUUGCAUGUACUUUAUGAAUAAGGAUCGGCUAACUCCGUGCCAGCAGCCGCGGUAAUACGGAGGAUCCGAGCGUUAUCCGGAUUUAUUGGGUUUAAAGGGAGCGUAGAUGGAUGUUUAAGUCAGUUGUGAAAGUUUGCGGCUCAACCGUAAAAUUGCAGUUGAUACUGGAUAUCUUGAGUGCAGUUGAGGCAGGCGGAAUUCGUGGUGUAGCGGUGAAAUGCUUAGAUAUCACGAAGAACUCCGAUUGCGAAGGCAGCCUGCUAAGCUGCAACUGACAUUGAGGCUCGAAAGUGUGGGUAUCAAACAGGAUUAGAUACCCUGGUAGUCCACACGGUAAACGAUGAAUACUCGCUGUUUGCGAUAUACAGCAAGCGGCCAAGCGAAAGCGUUAAGUAUUCCACCUGGGGAGUACGCCGGCAACGGUGAAACUCAAAGGAAUUGACGGGGGCCCGCACAAGCGGAGGAACAUGUGGUUUAAUUCGAUGAUACGCGAGGAACCUUACCCGGGCUUAAAUUGCAGAUGAAUUACGGUGAAAGCCGUAAGCCGCAAGGCAUCUGUGAAGGUGCUGCAUGGUUGUCGUCAGCUCGUGCCGUGAGGUGUCGGCUUAAGUGCCAUAACGAGCGCAACCCUUGUUGUCAGUUACUAACAGGUUCCGCUGAGGACUCUGACAAGACUGCCAUCGUAAGAUGUGAGGAAGGUGGGGAUGACGUCAAAUCAGCACGGCCCUUACGUCCGGGGCUACACACGUGUUACAAUGGGGGGUACAGAGGGCCGCUACCACGCGAGUGGAUGCCAAUCCCCAAAACCUCUCUCAGUUCGGACUGGAGUCUGCAACCCGACUCCACGAAGCUGGAUUCGCUAGUAAUCGCGCAUCAGCCACGGCGCGGUGAAUACGUUCCCGGGCCUUGUACACACCGCC
rnacentral:rRNA from 1 species